UGCCAGCAGCCGCGGUAAUACGGAGGGUGCAAGCGUUAAUCGGAAUCACUGGGCGUAAAGCGCACGCAGGCGGUUUGUUAAGUCAGAUGUGAAAGCCCCGGGCUCAACCUGGGAACUGCAUUUGAUACUGGCAAACUAGAGUAUGGGAGAGAGAAGUAGAAUUCCACAUGUAGCGGUGAAAUGCGUAGAGAUGUGGAGGAAUAUCAGUGGCGAAGGCGACUUCUUGGCCCAAUACUGACGCUCAGGUGCGAAAGCGUGGGGAGCAAACAGAAUUAGAUA
rnacentral:rRNA from 1 species